ensembl:lncRNA
CGAUAUUGUACUGCUCUCCUCAGGGCAAAGUUCUGCCUGAAAAGAUUUCUUGAACACUAAAAUAUGUUGUUCAGGAAUUGCUGUUAAUUUUACUUGCUGGCAAUCCUUUCUAUAGCAAUUACUAUGGCCAUAGCAGUCCUCUGUACAUCACCUUUAUAUCUGUUCUUGAUGCUGAAGCUUUGAUUGUGAGUGCCAAUAACAUACACACAAAGUCUGUUAUGAGCUUCCUUCCUCUCAGAACUCCCUUGUAUUCACAAAUACAAAUUAAGGGAGAGCCAUGUUGCUCCUAUCCAAACUGCCUAUCCCUGACACACCCAGCUGAAGCUGUCUCGAGCUCAGUGUUUCAGGAAGGAAUUUCAAUUUUUCAUAAAAUUUCUUUACUAUUUUUAGCAUUAAUCGCGUGGACAUCAGCAACACUUCUGUGAACCUGUCCUCCUUUUUGACUCAGACCUGCCUCAGAAGCUUAGAGUUUUCCAAACUAUUACUAAGUGUUGCAGGCACUUUCCAAGUAAUACAUAAGAUCAGUGUGAUGUUUAUUCAUGUUUCCCCCGUGUUCCAGAAAGACCUCUGUAGUGAUCUUUAAAGCAAAACCUGUUGUAGUACGUCCAAUUCUACCUCUAGUUCCCUAUUUCUGUUGUCAAACCAGGUUGUUAAACUAUGAGUGAGGGUGAGUUUCUCCUAAUUUGCUCCACGCUCCCUGCAUGUUGACUUUAUUGGGACUUUUGCUUAUGGAGGUCUUUCAUUGCUGGGAGUUCCCUGGCAUAGCAUUUGCAUGGUCAUCAAGGCAAGGUGUAUACUGACGCUAAGGACACUGGGCUGGCGGCAGAGCACAGGCCAUUUCUCAUACUAUUUGGACUAUUUGGACUUUUAUAGGGUGUAACUUUUGGACUAUUCUCUGGCAGAUGUAAUGAAGAGAAUUAUGUUUCAAGUUGCACGUUGUUCACCAUCAGGAUUUCAAUGUGAAUAAUAAUAGGCACUUGUAGUACACAUGUAGCUUCAUUUCUAAAAUAGGAAAUAGUAUUUUCCUUAGAGAAAAUCACCAGAAUGGUGAAGGUAAGUUCCGAUUAAAUAGGUUAAUUAGGUUAAUAGGUUAGACAGAGCAAAGAUCAACAAAACUCAAUUAUUGAAGUUUCAAGACCAACAGAAAGAAGUAUUGGCAGAGAUUUUAAAGUAUUAGUGUCUAGUCUCUGCGUGGUUUGGAACAGGUUCAGCUUCAGAAGAUAAUCUGAGAAAUGAGUAGAUGCAAAGGGCAGUCCUUAACGUUGUAAUGCAGCAAUUGAGGUUUUUCUGAGGAACCUUUCACUUCUCAGGAACGGGAAUGGUGCUCACUUCUGAACUCAACUUUCUCAUUCAGAGUCUUUUCCCUACCUUUGGAGGGGUAUUCGGAGGGUUUUCCUAAAUGACACUAAUACAUCCAAAGGGCUGAAAAUGAGCAAGAGUAAUUGUCCUUGUACCUUUCAUGUGCUGUCAUCCUAACACAAAUCCACUGGAAUUUUGGCAGCUUUUUGUUGUUGUUGUUGUUGAGAUGACACCACCAGUCUUCUGGAGAAUUUCAAAGCAUUUAAACUGAUAUAUUUCACAAGUAAUCACAGCUGCCUUGCCCUUCCUAAAACUUACAUAAAGAUUUUAAAAGAGUAUACGUAGCUCUGCAUGUUUUUGAAACAAAAUAAAGUUUAUUAUAGUUGAAGUGGAGACGUAGCGUGGGCUUUAGCUCCAAUUGCAUCAUUAGUCCUGCCUACAUUAUUCAAUAUACUUCAGUUGUCAUACGUAUGUUGCAAAACCUAAAGUGUGCAGGGAACAAAUCUGGCCAUUAAAUUUACAUAACGCAUAGUGACAUUUCUCUGGACUGUGGGCAAACACAGGAAAAACAAAACUUACACUUCAGAAAGCCAUCUACAAAUGCAAGGAAAAAAUAGAUUAAGCACAAGGACUGUACUGUAAGAACUAGUGAGGAAAAUCUUUUACUCCAUUUUUAGGCAAGGUUUAUUGCAGGUAACUGGACUGUAGAGUGUAAAAAGCUGAAAUACCAGCUUGGAGUUUUAGGAAGAAGAUAAAAAGCUUUAAGACAUUAUUUGAGGUUGAUUAAACAUGUCAACAGUGUGGAGGAAAAGAGCGCAAAGCCCUUAUAAGUGCAAACAUAAAAUAUUGCAAGUGUUAUGGUAUUAGAUAAAAUAAAACAUAAAAAUAAUUUCAGGUCUGCAUCCUGGCUACUAAAACUGCACUUAUUUUCCAUUUGCAAUACUAUCAUUUAAGGAUAUAAAGACUUAUAUUUUAAGGGAGAUUAAGCAGGAUACAACAGGAAGUCAAGCACUAAACAGUUGUGAUGCCAUAUUGUUGUUUAAAAGAGGGAUUAAGUAGCAUAGAGGAAAGGCUAAGUCAGGGCUUAAACCAGUGAUUGAGCACCUGGUGGGAAGGCAGGGCCAACCCAGGGGAGCUCAGGUGCAUGUAAUGUAGCUAAAUGACUGGGAGUGGUGGACCCGGGAUAUACCCCUUCCCAGCCCUCAUUUAAGGGUUGGCAGUGGAAGGAUGGGUAUCUCUUGUUGGAGGUCCCUGUGAAUCUAUAGUCUUCUGAAGGUAAGUGGGGUUUUCCCCUUUCUUUUGUUUUUGUGCCUGUAGCUGUUGUGUUUGAGCAAAUCCUCACUUGCUGGGGCCUGGGACCUUGCUGCUCUGCUGUUGUUGCUGUGCUUUCUUUCUGUUGUGUUGUAUGUUCACAUACAGCUCUUAAGUAAAGUUGAGUUUUAGAUAAGUUCACCCUGCUUAAUUUCUCUCUGGGAGGAAGUGUAAAGGUUGAGUGAAUAAUUAAGUGAAUUCAGUUUCAGUCUGUACUGAACAGAUGCAACUUGCUGAGACAAAUUGCUGAUGUAUUGAACUUCUCUUGUACAGGAAUCUGCUGAGUAACUUAUUCAAAAUACCAUAUGGGUAAAUGCUCUGUUAAACCCAAUCUCUUUUAGAGAGAAGCUGAAGCAGUAAGCAGUUGAGAGGAUUUUGUUUUUCCUGUCAAGUACAAGUUUCAUUCUAUUUUUUUUUUUAGGAUCAGAGCUUCUGUCUCUGUCAGUUUAGAUAAAUCUUCAUAUUUAUUUAGUCUGCUAUGUGGAAAAAAUGUUGAUUGAACUGCUGUGUAUGUUACAGAAGCACCUGAGGAUGCUGUCUGCCUCUUUCUAAUGCUUUUAAUGAGGUUAGAAGAGAUUGAAGUUAUCCGAGAAUCUUCUGACAAAUGAUCUCUGUAUGUGGAAAGGGCUUCUUGUGCUGUGAAUGUACGAGGCUGCCAAGCAGAGAGCACAUGAAAAAGUAAUUGUUUGUUUGAAUGGUGUGGCACGAUACCGCAGUUCUUCAAAGCAUUAUGUGAACAGUACAGAUACAGAUGUCCUGAGUGCUUCACCUCAUUCACCCAACUGCACUUGAAGAUGUCCUUGGAAUGAGGAACACUUCAAAGAUUCAAGUCCAAGUUUCAAGUUCAAUGUGGUUGUUGAAGAGCACCAGUGUUUAAGCACUUUACUCCAGGCCUCUCUUCGGUUCUGAAAGCAUCAGAUAACAGCUGCAAGCUUUAAAAAGCAGCUGGAUAUAAGUGGUGUACCCUAUAAUCUGUUCAAAGCCUUUUGUACUGUAACACUUCUGUCUUUGAAACCAAUAAUCUCUUUUUUUUUGUUUCAAACUUUUUGAUGGAUUAUGUUUCUUGGAAUUGCCCAGACUCUCUAAACUGAGGUUUGUUUUGAGGAACUGUAGGGGCUGGGUUUUAAUUUGUCCCAGUUUUCUCCUCUUGCUGUAUUAUGCAAGCUUCUCAUUUUGUGUUUAUACCAUUAAGAUAUUGCUUAGGAAUACUAUUACUUGAAUAGUUCUGGAGAUCAAAUUGCCCAUGGAAAUACCACAUGCGAUAAUGCUGUUAUACUCUGAUUAUAUUAUAUGCUAUUGUGUAUUGUAAUUAGACAUAUUUUAAAAUAGUAUCCCCUAAGGCCAAUGAAAUCAUGUAAUUCAGAACUACUAGGUUAUCCUAAGCAGUCUGAAGGUUCUGGAUGAGUAGACCAGCUCCUGGAAGUCAGUUUCGUGGGAGACCUAUUGGACAACCCUGUGGAGAAAGCUGCUGGCAGCUACUACUGUCUGGGAAAUUGGUUAUAUAAUGUGUGAUGGAGUUUAAAGGGCCCAAGGGGAGCAUUUUGUUAACGAUAGGGAAUAAAACUGCCCAUAGGAAUACUGAGGAGCUGGAGGUAGGAAGCGGUUCCAGUGUUGAGAAUGUUUUGUCUUAGUUCUGACUGUAAGUCUUCUCUCAGGAAGAGAGGUGGAGUGGUUGGAUAUGUUUGUAGCUGCAUGCUGUUAUCUAAAACUACUUGUAUUUUUUAUGUAGACAAUACUUUGAAGCAAUUUCUAUGAAGUUAUGUGUUAAGCAUUGUUAUUAAUUGUAAGCAGUUGUUUGUAAUGCUUUGAACUAAGUAAAAUCACCUUCAGGUGAUUUUUCUUUUUUU